rnacentral:rRNA from 1 species
ACUCCUGCGGGAGGCAGCAGUGGGGAAUUUUGGACAAUGGGCGAAAGCCUGAUCCAGCAAUGCCGCGUGUGUGAAGAAGGCCUUCGGGUUGUAAAGCACUUUUGUCCGGAAAGAAAUCCUUGGCUCUAAUACAGUCGGGGGAUGACGGUACCGGAAGAAUAAGCACCGGCUAACUACGUGCCAGCAGCCGCGGUAAUACGUAGGGUGCGAGCGUUAAUCGGAAUUACUGGGCGUAAAGCGUGCGCAGGCGGUUUGCUAAAACCGAUGUGAAAUCCCCGGGCUCAACCUGGGAACUGCAUGGGUGACUGGCAGGCUAGAUUAUGGCAGAGGGGGGUAGAAUUCCACGUGUAGCAGUGAAAUGCGUAGAGAUGUGGAGGAAUACCGAUGGCGAAGGCAGCCCCCUGGGCCAAUACUGACGCUCAUGCACGAAAGCGUGGGGAGCAAACAGGAUUAGAUACCCCGGUAGUCCCA